rnacentral:tRNA from 1 species
GCGGGUGUGGCGGAACUGGCAGACGCGCCGGACUCAGGAUCCGGUGCCCGCAAGGGCGUGCGGGUUCGACUCCCGCCACCCGCACCA